rnacentral:rRNA from 1 species
CCCGCUCAGAAACUCAAAGGAAUGACGGGGGCCCGCACAAGCGGUGGAGCAUGUGGUUUAAUUCGAUGAUACGCGAGGAACCUUACCUGGGCUCAAAUGUAUGUUGACGUAUUCUGAAAGGGAUACUUCUUCGGACAAUAUACAAGGUGCUGCAUGGUUGUCGUCAGCUCGUGCCGUGAGGUGUCGGGUUAAGUCCCAUAACGAGCGCAACCCCUAUCAUUAGUUGCCAUCAGGUCAAGCUGGGGACUCUAAUGAAACUGCCUACGCAAGUAGUGAGGAAGUGGGGAUGACGUCAAAUCAGCACGGCCCUUACGUCCAGGGCUACACACGUGCUACAAUGGGUGGUACAAAGGGCAGCUACCUGGCGACAGGAUGCUAAUCUCCAAAACCACUCUCAGUUCGGAUCGGAGUCUGCAACUCGACUCCGUGAAGCUGGAUUCGCUAGUAAUCGCGCAUCAGCCACGGCGCGGUGAAUACGUUCCCGGGCCUU